rnacentral:misc_RNA from 1 species
GACAAGCGGUAAAAAGCGCGCGUCGUGUUUAACAUCAUAUCAGAGUUUCGCAAAUUUUACAUCAUGCCAAAUACAAAAUGCUCAGGCGACAUGGAGGAUUGUGUGAUGCCAGUACGUUCUGCUAAUCCGAUACGCGCUAGAAGUUUGAUCCGAGACAAUUUGGAGAAACAGGCUGGUUGUCUAAAUCUAAUACACUCCAGAAUGCCAAACAUUAAAGUGUUUUCGGGCACCUCGCAUCCGGAUUUGGCGCAGCGUAUUGUCGAUCGCCUUGGCAUCGACCUGGGCAAAGUGGUCACCAAGAAGUUUAGCAAUUUGGAAACAUGUGUCGAGAUCGGAGAAUCGGUGCGCGGCGAAGAUGUUUAUAUCGUACAGUCCGGUUCCGGGGAGAUCAAUGAUAAUUUAAUGGAGCUGCUGAUCAUGAUAAAUGCAUGCAAAAUAGCAUCAGCCUCUCGUGUUACAGCUGUGAUUCCUUGCUUUCCAUAUGCCCGCCAAGACAAAAAAGAUAAGUUGUCGGGCGGUGAGGAGAAAGACGAAAGCAAGAAACUUGCCAAGAAAAACUUCGAUUGGAAAUUUAGGAGCCGUGCGCCCAUCUCGGCGAAAUUGGUCGCUAAUAUGCUAUCAGUGGCCGGUGCGGAUCAUAUUAUAACCAUGGAUCUACAUGCCUCACAGAUUCAGGGUUUCUUCGAUAUACCAGUUGAUAAUCUCUAUGCCGAGCCGGCGGUACUCAAAUGGAUCAAAGAGAACAUUCCCGAAUGGAAAAAUUCGAUUAUCGUAUCGCCCGAUGCUGGCGGCGCCAAGCGUGUCACCUCGAUUGCGGAUCGCUUGAACGUGGAGUUCGCGCUGAUACACAAGGAGCGCAAGAAGGCCAACGAGGUGGCCUCCAUGGUGCUCGUUGGUGAUGUUAAGGAUAAGAUUGCCAUAUUGGUCGACGAUAUGGCCGAUACAUGCGGCACCAUUGUCCAUGCCGCCGAUCGUCUCGUCGAAGCGGGCGCACACCAAGGUGUAUGCCAUACUGACGCACGGCAUUUUUUCGGGUCCGGCGAUUUCGCGCAUUAACAAUGCCUGCUUCGAGGCGGUCGUUGUGACCAAUACCAUACCACAGGAUGGCCAUAUGCGUGAUUGCCCCAAAAUACAGUGCAUUGAUGUGUCCAUGAUGUUCGCCGAGGCAGUUAGACGGACACACAAUGGCGAGAGUGUCUCGUAUCUCUUCUCAAAUGUUCCAUAUUA